UAAGGAAUAUUGCUCAAUGGGAGAAAUCCUGAAGCAGCAACGCCGCGUGGAGGAUGAAGGGUCUAUGACUUGUAAACUCCUGUAAAGAAGGAAAAAAUUCCCAUUAGAUGGGAGAUGAUGGUACUUCUGGAGUAAGCCCCGGCUAACUACGUGCCAGCAGCCGCGGUAAUACGUAGGGGGCAAGCGUUGUCCGGAUUUACUGGGUGUAAAGGGCGCGCAGGCGGAAUGGAAAGUCAGUGGUGAAAUCCUACAGCUUAACUGUAGAACUGCCUUUGAUACUUUUAUUCUUGAGUUCGGGAGAGAGAGACGGAAUUCCAGGUGUAGUGGUGAAAUACGUAGAUAUCUGGAAGAACACCAGUUGCGAAGGCGGUCUCUUGGUCCGACACUGACGCUGAGGCGCGAAAGCGUGGGGAGCAAACA
rnacentral:rRNA from 1 species